rnacentral:rRNA from 1 species
UAGCAGACCUUCGGGUGCUGACGAGCGGCGGACGGGUGAGGAACACGUAGGAAUUUGCCUAGUAGUGGGGGAUAGCCCAGAGAAAUUUGGAGUAAUACCGCAUACGCCCUAAGGGGGAAAGUGGGGGACCGCAAGGCCUCACGCUAUUAGAGAAGCCUGCGUCGGAUUAGCUAGUUGGUAGGGUAAAGGCCUACCAAGGCGACGAUCCGUAGCUGGUCUGAGAGGAUGAUCAGCCACACUGGGACUGAGACACGGCCCAGACUCCUACGGGAGGCAGCAGUGGGGAAUAUUGGACAAUGGGCGAAAGCCUGAUCCAGCCAUGCCGCGUGUGUGAAGAAGGCCUUCGGGUUGUAAAGCACUUUAAGUGGGGAGGAAAAGCGGUUCGUGAAUA